AUCUAAGUCUAUAGGACCUGUCAGCCGUGGCAGUCUCCCUUCCUAGCCAUGGAAGAGCAUGAUUCUUGUUGAUUGGCAAAGCUGUCACCAUUUUAUUGCAAAUUCUGACUUGCAAAAGGAACAUUC